UAAACUGCCCCCUCCCCCACCGCGCUCACGUUUCAACGGCCGCUGCCUCAGGUGGGUGGUGAUGUCAGACCCUUGACCCUUGACACAACCCCCUCCGCGCAACUGCCGGCCGAGGGUGCCGACUACGUCUCCCACGGACUCUCUUUGACCUUAACUCCUAGAGCGCAGCUAUUGCCUACGGCUUCUGACGCCCCCAUUUCCACAAGUUUUCUUGUUUCCUAACACUCACUUGUUAAUGUCAACUGCUAUCCUUGGUCCCUGACUCCCAGAACCCAGGUUUCAGGAACCAGUCCUAUGGAGAAGUAGCAGAUUCCAAAUUGGGGCACAAACCAAACACCUUGCCAUGCCCUCCAGCCAGGUCCCAGCUCUGAGAGGGGCUGCUGAGGCCCAUUCCUCACCCCUUCAGGACAGUGAUCUUUGCUGCGUUAGGAACUGAGACUUCUACUGAUGCAAUGCUGUUCCCAGACCUAGAGACUGUCAGU